rnacentral:rRNA from 1 species
CCUACGGGAGGCAGCAGUGGGGAAUAUUGGGCAAUGGAGGCAACUCUGACCCAGCAACGCCGCGUGAAUGAUGAAGGUCUUCGGAUUGUAAAGUUCUGUGAUGGGGGAUGAACACAAUGACGGUACCCCAAUAGCAAGCCACGGCUAACUACGUGCCAGCAGCCGCGGUAAUACGUAGGUGGCAAGCGUUAUCCGGAAUGACUGGGCGGAAGGGGUGCGUAGGUGGUUUAGUAAGUUGGCGGUGUAAUUCCGGGGCUCAACCCCGGCGCUACCGCCAAAACUAUUAGACUAGAGUGCAGGAGGGGUAAGUGGAAUUCCUAGUGUAGCGGUGGAAUGCGUAGAUAUUAGGAGGAACAUCAGGGGCGAAGGCGACUUACUGGACUGUAACUGACACUGAGGCACGAAAGCGUGGGGAGCAAACAGGAUUAGAUACCCGGGUAGUC